UACGUAGGGUGCAAGCGUUAAUCGGAAUUACUGGGCGUAAAGCGUGCGCAGGCGGCUUUGCAAGACAGAUGUGAAAUCCCCGGGCUUAACCUGGGAACUGCAUUUGUGACUGCAUGGCUGGAGUGCGGCAGAGGGGGAUGGAAUUCCGCGUGUAGCAGUGAAAUGCGUAGAUAUGCGGAGGAACACCGAUGGCGAAGGCAAUCCCCUGGGCCUGCACUGACGCUCAUGCGCGAAAGCGUGGGGAGCAAACAGG
rnacentral:rRNA from 1 species